rnacentral:rRNA from 1 species
CACAAGCGGAGGAGCAUGUGGUUUAAUUCGAUGAUACGCGAGGAACCUUACCGUGGGCUCGAACGUAAGAUGACUGUAGGUGAAAGCUUACAUCUCUUCGGAGCAUUUUACGAGGUGCUGCAUGGUUGUCGUCAGCUCGUGCCGUGAGGUGUCGGGUUAAGUCCCAUAACGAGCGCAACCCUACCUUUAGUUGCCAUCAGGUAAUGCUGGGGACUCUAAAGGAACUGCCUACGCAAGUAGUGAGGAAGGCGGGGAUGACGUCAAAUCAGCACGGCCCUUACGUCCAGGGCUACACACGUGCUACAAUGGCCGAUACAGAGGGCAGCUACCUGGUGACAGGAUGCAAAUCUCCAAAGUCGGUCUCAGUUCGGAUCGGAGUCUGCAACCCGACUCCGUGAAGUUGGAUUCGCUAAGUAAUCGCGCAUCAGCCAUGGCGCGGUGAAUACGUUCCCGGGCCUU